UAGAAACAGACUAGUACUCUGGUAUGAGGCUGACUGUAAAGCAGGUGGAAACAGACUAGUACUCUGGUAUGAGGCUGACUGUAAAGCAGGUAGAAACAGACUAGUACUCUGGUAUGAGGCUGACUGUAAAGCAGGUGGAAACAGACUAGUACUCUGGUAUGAGGCUGACUGUAAAGCAGGUGGAAACAGACUAGUACUCUGGUAUGAGGCUGACUGUAAAGCAGGUAGAAACAGACUAGUACUCUGGUAUGAGGCUGACUGUAAAGCAGGUGGAAACAGACUAGUACUCUGGUAUGAGGCUGACUGUAAAGCAGGUGGAAACAGACUAGUACUCUGGUAUGAGGCUGACUGUAAAGCAGGUAGAAACAGACUAGUACUCUGGUAUGAGGCUGACUGUAAAGCAGGUAGAAACAGACUA